rnacentral:rRNA from 1 species
AAAAGAUGAAACUUCAGACCUUAACAUUACAAACUACAAAGAAGUAAUAACUUCUCUCAAAUGGCGUGCCAGCAGUCUCGGUUAUACGAUUAGAUUUUUAAACAGUUUAACUUCUUCAUUUAACACAAUAUAGUAAAGUAAAAUCACUUAAAGGUGAAAUUUUGAGAUUCUCUAAUUCUUAAGAUGAAGAAAGACGAAACCGUGAAGAAAAAGGAUUAGAUACCCUCCUACUUGCUUUCCAAAGGUAAUAAAUGGAACUCAUUAAACCUAAAAGAAUUGGCGGUCUUUCAUCCAUUCAGGGGGAUUUGCCUCUUAAAUCGAUAACCCCCGUUUCAUAAUACCUUUCUUAUUAGUUUACAUAUCGCCGAAGGGUAGAAAAGACAAUCAACAAUUUCAGGUAAAAUGUAGCCCAUAGAGAGGAGAAGGUUAAUCACAAAGAAGAUUUUCUAUUAAAUUUCAAAACAAUAAGGACCUGAAAGUAAACUUCCCUUAGAAUAAGAGGUUAAAAAGGCAAUCAAAGAUGCACAUAUCGCCCGUCACCCUAAAAAGUUAGGUAAGUCGUAACAAAGUAGAAGUUUCGGAAGAAGCCUCUUCU